rnacentral:lncRNA from 1 species
AUAUCCAAAAGAGUAACAGUAGGUACAAAAUCAACAUCUUAACUUUGAUAUUGCGUCCAUAUCUCUUUCAUAUAAACUCCAAAUGAUUCAAAAUUUGUACCAAAAUCAUAGCCAAAAUCCUAAACUUGCUGAUUCUAGCCUCCAAAGCUCAAAUGACUCCAAAAAACUAACCCUAAUCUCUAAUAUGCCCUCAAGCAGCCUCCUUGAAGCCCAUUGGUCAUGAUUUUUGACCAAUAGGAAUGGAGAUUUUCAUCAUCUAUCUACAUUCAUCCAUAUAGGUGCCCUAACUUUUCUUUUUUGCUACCAAUACC